rnacentral:rRNA from 1 species
AUGAACGCUGGCGGCGUGCCUAAUACCUGCAAGUCGAGCGAACAGACGAGGAGCUUGCUCCUCUGACGUUAGCGGCGGACGGGUGAGUAACACGUGGAUAACCUACCUAUAAGACUGGGAUAACUUCGGGAAACCGGAGCUAAUACCGAAUAAUAUAUUGAACCGCAUGGUUCAAUAGUGAAAGACGGUUUUGCUGUCACUUAUAGAUGGAUCCGCGCCGCAUUAGCUAGUUGGUAAGGUAACGGCUUACCAAGGCAACGAUGCGUAGCCGACCUGAGAGGGUGAUCGGCCACACUGGAACUGAGACACGGUCCAGACUCCUACGGGAGGCAGCAGUAGGGAAUCUUCCGCAAUGGGCGAAAGCCUGACGGAGCAACGCCGCGUGAGUGAUGAAGGUCUUCGGAUCGUAAAACUCUGUUAUUAGGGAAGAACAAAUGUGUAAGUAACUAUGCACGUCUUGACGGUACCUAAUCAGAAAGCCACGGCUAACUACGUG